GACGAACGCUGGCGGCGUGCCUAAUACAUGCAAGUAGAACGCUGAAGGAGGAGCUUGCUUCUCUGGAUGAGUUGCGAACGGGUGAGUAACGCGUAGGUAACCUGCCUGGUAGCGGGGGAUAACUAUUGGAAACGAUAGCUAAUACCGCAUAAUAGUAGAUGUUGCAUGACAUUUGCUUAAAAGGUGCAAUUGCAUCACUACCAGAUGGACCUGCGUUGUAUUAGCUAGUUGGUGGGGUAACGGCUCACCAAGGCGACGAUACAUAGCCGACCUGGGAGGGUGAACGGCCACACUGGGACUGAGACCAGGCCCAGACUCCUACGGGAGGCAGCAGUAGGGAAUCUUCGGCAAUGGACGGAAGUCUGACCGAGCAACGCCGCGUGAGUGAAGAAGGUUUUCGGAUCGGAAAGCUCUGUUGUAAGAGAAGAAAGAGUGUGAGAGUGGAAAGUUCACACUGUGACGGUAUCUUACCAGAAAGGGACGGCUAACUACGUG
rnacentral:rRNA from 1 species